GGCAGGUCUUAGGCGGGGGGCUAGGGGUCCCCUGAGAGGCAUACGGCCUCGACCGUAAACCCCCUAUACGACGGGCCGAGAGCUGAGGUGAGGCGUAAAAGAUCACCGGCCUCCUUCAGUCUCUCAAGCAAUGACUAUUCGUCCUCUGGGGCCGACGGUCACGGAGCGCCCUCUGUAGGGAGGGCGUAACCGUGUUUACCAAGCGAACCUGGCCAGGCCCGGGAGGGAGCAACCUAAGCUUGGAC
rnacentral:SRP_RNA from 1 species